UGGGGAAUAUUGCACAAUGGAGGGAACUCUGAUGCAGCGACGCCGCGUGAGUGAUGAAGGAAUUCGUUUCGUAAAACUCUGUUCUAUGGGAAGAAAAGGACUGUACCAUAGGAGAAAGCUCCGGCUAAAUACGUGCCAGCAGCCGCGGUAAUACGUAUGGAGCGAGCGUUGUCCGGAAUUAUUGGGCGUAAAGGGUGCGCAGGCGGCUUUACAAGUUGGAUGUGAAAUAUUGUGGCUCAACCACAAACGUGCAUCCAAAACUGCAAAGCUUGAGUUAAGGAGAGGUAAGUGGAAUUCCUGGUGUAGCGGUGGAAUGCAUAGAUAUCAGGAGGAAUACCUGUGGCGAAGGCGACUUACUGGACUUAAACUGACGCUCAGGCACGAAAGCGUGGGGAGCAAACAGG
rnacentral:rRNA from 1 species